rnacentral:rRNA from 1 species
AACGAACGCUGGCGGCAUGCCUAACACAUGCAAGUCGAACGAUCCCUUCGGGGCUAGUUGCGUACGGGUGCGUAACGCGUGGGAACCUGCCCUUAGGUUCGGAAUACCUCAGAGAAAUUUGAGCUAAUACCGGAUAAUGUCUUCGGACCAAAGAUUUCUCGCCUUUGGAUGGGCCCGCGUUGUAUUCGCUUGUUGGUGGGGUAAAGGCCUACCCAGGCUACGAUCCAUAGCUGGUCUGAGAGGAUGAUCGGCCACUCUGGGACUGAGACACGGCACAGACUCCUGCGAGAGGGAGGAGUGGGGAAUAGUGGAAAAGGGGCGAGAGUCUGAUACAGCAAUGCCGCGUGAGUGAUGAAGGCCUUAGGGUUGUAAAGCUCUUGUAACCGAGAUGAUAAUGACAGUACCGGGAGAAGAAGCCCCGGCUAACUACGUG